CUGGAGGUCAGAAAAUAGGAGCUGGAACAUCAGAGCACACGAUCAGUAUUUCAGAAGGAGGCAUCUAUUACUGCAGAGGAGGGAGAGGAGAUCCAGUUUUCUCCACAGAGGACAGCGUUCCAGUUAAAAUUAAGAAACGGGUCCUGUAUGUUGUAAAGUUACAACACCGUUGGCCUCAGAUGUUCAUUGGUGAGACAAUCAUCCUUCAAUGUGAGAUCCAAGGAGGGGAAGACAAGGAGAUGACAUAUGAAUGGAAAUCACCAAACCCAAACAUCCCUGAAACAUCCAGUGAAUACAGGAUCAGCAGAUUAUCAGUGUCCCACAGUGGAGACUACAAAUGUCGGGGUAGCAGUGACUAUCUCUUAGCAAAAUGGAGUGACCCCUUCACACUGAUUGUCUUGUCAAGUAAACCCAGAGCCACACUGACACCACAAAGUUCAAGCCUACCAGCAGGGGGCAGUGUGACACUGAGCUGCUCUGUGGAGGGCUCUGCUGGCUGGAAGUUUGACUGGUUCAGACGUGAUUCAGUC